rnacentral:rRNA from 7 species
AAAGUCUAAACGACUCUCGGCAACGGAUAUCUCGGCUCUCGCAUCGAUGAAGAACGUAGCGAAAUGCGAUACUUGGUGUGAAUUGCAGAAUCCCGUGAACCAUCGAGUCUUUGAACGCAAGUUGCGCCCGAAACCAUUCGGUUGAGGGCACGUCUGCCUGGGCGUC